rnacentral:tRNA from 2 species
CCGACCUUAGCUCAGUUGGUAGAGCGGAGGACUGUAGAUCCUUAGGUUGCUGGUUCGAAUCCGGCAGGUCGGA